CGGAGGAAAAGAAACCAACAGGGAUUGCCUUAGUAGCGGCGAGUGAAGCGGCAAAAGCUCAAAUUUGAAAUCUGGCUCUUUCAGAGUCCGAGUUGUAAUUUGAAGAAGGUAUCUUUGGGUCUGGCUCUUGUCUAUGUUUCUUGGAACAGAACGUCACAGAGGGUGAGAAUCCCGUGCGAUGAGAUGAUCCAGGCCUAUGUAAAGUUCCUUCGAAGAGUCGAGUUGUUUGGGAAUGCAGCUCUAAGUGGGUGGUAAAUUCCAUCUAAAGCUAAAUAUUGGCGAGAGACCGAUAGCGAACAAGUACAGUGAUGGAAAGAUGAAAAGAACUUUGAAAAGAGAGUGAAAAAGUACGUGAAAUUGUUGAAAGGGAAGGGCUUGAGAUCAGACUUGGUAUUUUGUAUGUUACUUCUUCGGGGGUGGCCUCUACAGUUUAUCGGGCCAGCAUCAGUUUGGGCGGUAGGAGAAUUGCGUUGGAAUGUGGCACGGCUUCGGUUGUGUGUUAUAGCCUUCGUCGAUACUGCCAGCCUAGACUGAGGACUGCGGUUUAUACCUAGGAUGUUGGCAUAAUGAUCUUAAGUCGCCCGUCU
rnacentral:rRNA from 1 species